UUCCUAUUUGUUAGAAGCAAGUCAAUAAUCCUAGACCCGACUGAAGGGGAGGACAUUGCAAAAGAGCAGGAAUACCAGGAGGUGGUGAGCACUGACACCAGCCUAGUGACUGCCUAACACAAUGGUUCACAAAAGAUGAAUGAGAAAAUUGACAAAAGAUUUUCACCACUAUUUUUCAGAGGAAACGAAAUCCUCCAUGGGGCUUGCCUGUGAAAUUGAGCCAUGCAUCAUGACGUACUGUUCCAGCCAGGCCAGUCCCUGCUCAGGCACCACAGAACAGACUCCCACUGCACCUUCAAACUGCAUGACAAAUAAAGAAUCGCCCUGUCAGAAUUCCACCCUGGCUCACCCAAAUUGACAAAAAUUUUCUGAAUUACACUGUUUCAGGGCUCCCGCAUUGACAGGAGGCAGUCAAGCCUGACAGCCCUUUCCCUCUUGUCUGUUAUCUUGAAAUCAAUUGCACAGCCUGAUGCACAGAAUAAUGGCUGUGGACUAUUCUGCAGGACUUGGCCCAUCUGGUCACUAAGGAAGACAGCAUUGCUGGCUUCCUAUCGAUCUGGGAGGAGCAUGCUGCUACACAGAGGUGACCUCCAUCUCUCCACCUGGCCCUGCUAUUGAGGAAAUCAGUUUCACGAGUGAGCUCAUUCAGAAAUGAAAACAACUUUGCACCACAGCGUAUCCAUCUUUGUCUUUAAUUAAGAGCUCUUGCCUCUUUGGGAUUAAAUAGUGAGUUGUAAGCAAAUGAAAGGGCAUGAUUCUCUGCGUCGGGCACCAUAUUUUGUGUUAAGUCCCUUUAGUUAAAGUCUUGAACAGAUCAGACAUUUCAGUAGAGGGAAAUAUUAAUUUGGCUAUUUUAUGAAACUCCCUACACUUCAUCUUUGAAGAAAAUUCUUAUAUUAGUGGUAUAAUAUUUUUAUUAGCAAAGCUGAUUAAUGUUCCUACAAAGAUUAAUAUUUCUCAAGUUGGUUCUCUAGGAAAAUGAUCGAUUUAUACUUAAUUGUUUGAAGUUCAUUACACAGCCUACCUGUUUUACAUUUAAAAAGAAUUGCAUUAUUGGUGAGUUAUAAUAAAUGGACCCUGAAUCUAUGAAGGCUGCAAAAUGCUCCUGACUUCCUUAUUGGAAAGAAAGACGAAAGCAAGAAAAAAAGCAAGAAAGCAAGAAGAAAGAAAAACAAUUACAUGUUUAAGUUAGUAACAUUUUUGGAUGCUUAUAUUCCCACAGUUUUAUUUUUAUAGUUUGGUUUCUGUUUUUAGUAUUAAAAAUACCAAUUAGUAGCUGGCUUUUAUGAAACGUCUUCACGAUUCAGUCUGUAAAUUGCAUAUAGCAUUACAAAAGUCUGCUCCUUGCAUCUCCCGCCCCAUUCUUGUCCUCCUCUAGCAUAUUCACCCAGCUGCCCAAAGUAAUCUUUUAAGAACAUAAGUCAACUUAUGCCCCUUUCCUGCUCAAAACCUUCCGAGUGUUUCACAUGUCACCCAGAAUAACCAAACUCUCUUCCUCGACAAGGCCUAUAUGAUUUGUCCCUCCCUGUCUUUCUGACAUUGUCACCCAACAGUCCCCACUCUUGCUCACACCCUUCUAAACGGAGUACUAUUCUUGCACAGGCCCACACUUUUCACCUAACUGUGAAGUCAUGUGUUAAAAUUCACUUGGUCACAGAUGUCUAUUAAAAUAUUAAUAUAAUCUCAUAGAUUACAAGCCCCAUGAGGUCAAGAAUUUUGUAUGUCUUAUUUACCACUAUUUCUAAUGCCUAAUAAAGUAUGUAUUCAAUUAAGGCAGUAUUAGUCUUCCGUUAUCUCAUAUAAGUUCUAUUAAGACAAGGUCUAAAAGUGACUCAACGUGUUUUGUUUUGUUCAUCACUAUAUUCACACCACCUCGGGUAGUUCUUGAAUAUAAAAGUCACUUAAUAAAUGUUUGUUGAAUAAAUUGACCUAUGAAAAUAAAUCUAUUACAUAAGCGCAAUGGGAAACUGGGCCAGAAUUCAGGAUUGUCACAAACCUCCAAUAAUAUGGUCACUUUACAGAGAAAAUAGAAUAGUAUUAUUAAUAAAUUUACACAGCUUAGAGGCAUUGUUAGCUGAUAAAACCAUGUAAUUUGGAGCACAAGAGUUUAAACUACUUAUAUCUGGUCCCAAUUGUGGCUCUACUGUUAUUUAUCUGUUUGUGACUUUGGACACGUUAAUUAAGUUAAUUCAUUCCAUUCUUUUCCACAAACGAUGGUGAGCACUACCUCCUAAUGGGUUAAUGCGGCAACAUUGGUAAAAUACUUGUUGGAAUCCUGGCACAUGGUGAAGAGCAAAAAGAUCAUCUAUAUACCAUCAAUAGUUGGAAGAAAUUUGGAACACCUUUUCCAAGAAUGAAACUCCAGUCAAUCAGAAGAUUUUCGUAAAUCAGGAACAUGUAACAAGAUGUCAUAUUGUUUGAAUAAUAUGAUAUUGAUUGGGAAUUUCUGUUUCCCUGGGAUUUGUAUUAGAGUAUUAAGGUAAAAGAAAACCAAGGACGUGGUAUCUACAUUUUAAAGAAAGCUACCCAUAACUGGGGCCAGAUAUUCUCAUUCAAGCCUUAUUAAGGGACCGAAGAGUGGGCCCUACCAUAACCAUAAUAAAUAACCUCCUCCUACUCACAGCUCUUGGCUAAAAUAUUGAAAACAGAAGAAUGAAGAGAAGGAGGACGAUAAGAUGAGAGGUUGUCUCCAGGCUGCUGGAAAGUACAAUAUUCUUUAUGAAUGAAAAUUCCUUCCCUUCUAAAUGGGAAAAGUAGAAGAGUGCUUUAAUGGAAGCCAAAUGAGAAUAGUUUUAUGAGAAUCAUUCCUAAAGGUUAAAUGUGGGUUUAAGUAGAAUAUUUGUUUUGCCUUUGGGUCCAGCUGGGGUGGGUACUGGUUGGAGAGGGAGGAGAAAACUAGACAUAAGGUAGAUUAGAGAGAGAGAGGGAAUGAGAGAGCAGCUCUUAAACUGAUAUACCUCACAAUUUGCUAUGGAAAGAGUGCUUGAGUUUUCCAUUGGUUAACUGGGCACCUCUGAGAAUACUUUAUAAUACUUUAUUGUGCUAUUGUGAAUUGGAAUUCUACUUAAAUGAAGAAAAAUGUCAAGAAAAUUAAAUAUUCAACAUGAAAGAAUUUUAAUAAUAUCUUGAAAAUAAGUAGUAAAUAAUAUUCAGACGUUGCCACUAUAGUUGUUAGAUUUUCAAAACUACUUUGCAGGUCAUAAUUUUCUUUAUGAAUAUUAUCAAUAAAACUUCAAGGGACACUGUAGUAUACCUAUGAUGUAUCACUAAUAAUAGCGAAAAAAUAUUAAACAAAGGUGAAAUUAUUGACUCAGUACCAAUAUUCCAGUAUAUGCAAUUACACAUUGAGGAGGCAGCAUGUACAAAAUAAAUAAUUUAUCAAUAAUAUGAUGAAUAUUUUUCUAGUAUUUAAAUUUUCCCUUCUGCAACAACCUUCUUCUAAAUCAUUAGAACUUUAAU
ensembl:lncRNA